UACGGGGGGUGCAAGCGUUGUUCGGAUUUACUGGGCGUAAAGGGCGCGUAGGCGGCGUGACAAGUCACUUGUGAAAUCUCCGGGCUUAACUCGGAACGGUCAAGUGAUACUGUCGUGCUAGAGUACAGAAGGGGCAACUGGAAUUCUCGGUGUAGCGGUGAAAUGCGUAGAUAUCGAGAGGAACACCUGCGGCGAAGGCGGGUUGCUGGGCUGAUACUGACGCUGAGGCGCGAAAGCCAGGGGAGCGAACGGG
rnacentral:rRNA from 1 species